rnacentral:rRNA from 1 species
UGGAGCAUGUGGUUUAAUUUGAAGCAACGCGAAGAACCUUACCAGGUCUUGACAUCUUCUGACAAUUCUAGAGAUAGAGCGUUCCCCUUCGGGGGACAGAAUGACAGGUGGUGCAUGGUUGUCGUCAGCUCGUGUCGUGAGAUGUUGGGUUAAGUCCCGCAACGAGCGCAACCCUUGAUCUUAGUUGCCAGCAUUAAGUUGGGCACUCUAAGGUGACUGCCGGUGACAAACCGGAGGAAGGUGGGGAUGACGUCAAAUCAUCAUGCCCCUUAUGACCUGGGCUACACACGUGCUACAAUGGAUGGUACAAAGGGCAGCAAAACCGCGAGGUCGAGCCAAUCCCAUAAAACCAUUUCA